rnacentral:rRNA from 1 species
GUAUCAAUAAGCGGAGGAAAAGAAACCAACAGGGAUUGCCCUAGUAACGGCGAGUGAAGCGGCAACAGCUCAAAUUUGAAAUCUGGGGGUCUUUGACCUCCGAGUUGUAAUUUGAAGAGGAUGCCUCGGUUGCGGCCCCGGCCUAAGUUCCUUGGAACAGGACGUCGCAGAGGGUGAGAAUCCCGUACGCGGCUGUGGGUUUGCUUCCAUGUGUGGCUCCCUCGAAGAGUCGAGUUGUUUGGGAAUGCAGCUCAAAAUGGGUGGUAAGUUUCAUCUAAGGCUAAAUACUGGACGAGAGACCGAUAGCGCACAAGUA